rnacentral:rRNA from 1 species
CCUGGCUCAGGACGAACGCUGGCGGCGCGCCUAACACAUGCAAGUCGAACGAGAGAUGAGGAGCUUGCUCUUCAGAUCGAGUGGCGAACGGGUGAGUAACGCGUGAGGAACCUGCCUCAAAGAGGGGGACAACAGUUGGAAACGACUGCUAAUACCGCAUAAGCCCACGGCUCGGCAUCGAGCAGAGGGAAAAGGAGCAAUCCGCUUUGAGAUGGCCUCGCGUCCGAUUAGCUGGUUGGUGAGGUAACGGCCCACCAAGGCGACGAUCGGUAGCCGGACUGAGAGGUUGAACGGCCACAUUGGGACUGAGACACGGCCCAGACUCCUACGGGAGGCAGCAGUGGGGAAUAUUGCACAAUGGGGGAAACCCUGAUGCAGCGACGCCGCGUGGAGGAAGAAGGUCUUCGGAUUGUAAACUCCUGUUGUUGAGGAAGAUAAUGACGGUACUCAACAAGGAAGUGACGGCUAACUACGUGCCAGCAGCCGCGGUAAAACGUAGGUCACAAGCGUUGUCCGGAAUUACUGGGUGUAAAGGGAGCGCAGGCGGGAGAACAAGUUGGAAGUGAAAUCCAUGGGCUCAACCCAUGAACUGCUUUCAAAACUGUUUUUCUUGAGUAGUGCAGAGUAGGCGGAAUUCCCGGUGUAGCGGUGGAAUGCGUAGAUAUCGGGAGGAACACCAGUGGCGAAGGCGGCCUACUGGGCACCAACUGACGCUGAGGCUCGAAAGUGUGGGUAGCAAACAGGAUUAGAUACCCUGGUAGUCCACACCGUAAACGAUGAUUACUAGGUGUUGGAGGAUUGACCCCUUCAGUGCCGCAGUUAACACAAUAAGUAAUCCACCUGGGGAGUACGACCGCAAGGUUGAAACUCAAAGGAAUUGACGGGGGCCCGCACAAGCAGUGGAGUAUGUGGUUUAAUUCGACGCAACGCGAAGAACCUUACCAAGUCUUGACAUCCCUUGACGAACAUAGAAAUAUGUUUUCUCUUCGGAGCAAGGAGACAGGUGGUGCAUGGUUGUCGUCAGCUCGUGUCGUGAGAUGUUGGGUUAAGUCCCGCAACGAGCGCAACCCUUAUGGUCAGUUACUACGCAAGAGGACUCUGGCCAGACUGCCGUUGACAAAACGGAGGAAGGUGGGGAUGACGUCAAAUCAUCAUGCCCUUUAUGACUUGGGCUACACACGUACUACAAUGGCGUUAAACAAAGAGAAGCAAGACCGCGAGGUGGAGCAAAACUCAGAAACAACGUCCCAGUUCGGACUGCAGGCUGCAACUCGCCUGCACGAAGUCGGAAUUGCUAGUAAUCGUGGAUCAGCAUGCCACGGUGAAUACGUUCCCGGGCCUUGUACACACCGCCC